rnacentral:rRNA from 1 species
UAUGGCCAUACCACCCUGAAGGCACCCGAUCUCAUCUGAUCUCAUGAAGCUAAGCAGGGUUGGGCCUGGUUAGUACUUGGAUGGGAGAAUGAAUAAUGACAAUAACUAGGAAAAUACAAAUGGUGCAACUAUGU